rnacentral:rRNA from 1 species
UACGUAGGGUGCGAGCGUUAAUCGGAAUUACUGGGCGUAAAGCGUGCGCAGGCGGUUGUGUAAGACAGAUGUGAAAUCCCCGGGCUUAACCUGGGAACUGCAUUUGUGACUGCACGGCUGGAGUGCGGCAGAGGGGGAUGGAAUUCCGCGUGUAGCAGUGAAAUGCGUAGAUAUGCGGAGGAACACCAGUGGCGAAGGCGGCACCCUGGACCAGCACUGACACUGAGGCACGAAAGCGUGGGGAGCAAACAGG